UUCUAGCAUAUAUUAAAAUUGCUGCAGUUAAAACGCUCGUAGUUUGAAUUAUUGUCGCGCGGGUGCUGUGGGUUGAUUUAAUUCGACGCGUGGCAUGACGCGGGCAUUAAAAACACUUUGCCUGUGGACUUGUUAAGUCAGGUGUGCAGGAGAUAACCAUGAACAAAAAUUGUCGCUCAAAAAAGGACUUGGGUCUAUUGAGAUUUCAGCAUGGGAUUAUGGAAGACGGAAGUGACGGUGCAGGGUGUCCUACGGGGCGGCUCUGGCCGCAUUUCAAUGGUUAAUGAGGACGAUGCGUGGAAGUUCAUAUUAGAAUGUCAGAGGUGAAAUUCUUGGAUUAUUCUACGAUGAACAUCAGCGAAGGCAUCCUUCAAGUGCGUGCCUGUCAA
rnacentral:rRNA from 1 species